rnacentral:lncRNA from 1 species
UAACGCAAUAAAAUUAUUAUCACUUUAUUGUUACGCUUUUCAGUUUAAGGUGCCUUUCAGUGUUUGCUGGAUCACACACGGCUACAUGAGGCAUUUAGGUUAGUUAGGCUAAAUAUGUUUUAAAACAUUGUCUUCUUAGGCGGCACGCGGCAGGGGUAAUUAAAAAACACCCACACACACACGCUUUAUGCUGGGAAGCCCCAUCCCUGCCCCUCCUCCUCCUUCUGCAGCAGAUCUCCUGCUCCUUUUCUUCAGCCACACCGCUUCAGGAAACAUUUCAUUUUUUGCGGAGUAGAGAGGAGGACCUCGCAGCUAAGGCGACAGCGAUCUUAUUUUUAAUUUGGACAAAGUGAGGCUGGUGGACUGGAUGCCGAUACAACAUGCGCAUAAAAACCGCCUUCUUCUUGAUAUUGUUUCUCUCUUAUGUGGCUGUCCCAUGGCAGGUUGUCUCUGCACAGGAGGAGGUGAACUGCACCUUCAGACAAGAUGGUGGAUGGACUGAGUACAGUGUGCCUGAACACCAAGCAACUGACUGUAAUUUCUCCUGGAGCAACAACAGUGGUCAUGUGAUCUCCAACAACCUGGGGCAGGAUGAAACGGUGUUGAAUAGCAGCGAGUCGUCUGUUCGCAUCAGGGGGUGUUCUGAAAGUAUGGGUUACUGGAGAGAUUGCAUCUCUGAGGGGACACCACGUGUAAGCAGCUGUAACAUCACCUGCAGGAACCUGCAGCCACGUGAACAAGAAUAUGGAUACCUUGCCUACAUCAUUCCUGCUGCCUGUGUAUUGCUGGUACUGGGGGUCAUGGGGGUCAUCUUCAUGCUAUAUAAGUGCUUCAUCCGGCAGAGCACUUCUACGGCAGGCAGUCCAGAUGACGUGGAGGCAUCCGUUUUUUAGGCUCUGCAUUUUUACUGCAUGUAGAUUUUCUUCUGUGCCUUCAGAUAAUGUGUGACAAUCUUUUCAGAGAUUACUUUACUAAGUUGUAAUCUUUUCUAGGUUUCUAAGGAAAAAUAUCUUUUAAACUAUCAAUGCAUUUAUUAAGGUAAAUCAUGCAUAUUAAUAUGAUUCACAUAUACAGUACAGUGACUGGACAUGGGAGACCUGAUUAUAUUCUGUUGUGGACAUGUGGUUAUUGUUGUCCGUUCUAAGGAGGCAUUCCGUACAGUAAAUCAGAUCUAUAGAUACAGAUCUAUAGAAUCGUUUCUUCCACACUGAUGCACACUUUCAUGUAUUCCUAACGCCGGCCCUGCACCGUUAAUUGUCUUUACAUUACUUAAGACAAAUGAUACAUAUGCAGGCAGUGACAAACCUGUGCCUUAUGCAGUCAGUUGUUGUGCUGACUGAACAAAAUGGUGGGUUCGUGGAUGCAUUCACCAGUGGCUCGUGUAUACCCUGUGAUGACGUAACGCAGCUAAUUGCACACUCACAGAUGUGUAACAUAAAACACAUGCUUAAUUAAUUCACCUUUAAACCAACUGUUGAUGUACCUGUUCAGAUGUUUAGGCUGAAUUCACAAUUGUAUUUACUGAUACAGUAUUUGUAAUUCAGCUGUAAUCUAACAGACAGACAUACCGUUACAAAAGGUGGCUAGUACACGUUUUAGAUGUGUAUGUAGCAUCCAAGUGUAAAGUAUUCAAAAGGCUUUGCUUUUUGUAAUAUGACAGGUCAGGCUUCCAGGUUCAAAGCUACAGGAUGUGUCUUGGUUAGUGACAGAUCAUUUUGCGUUAUAGACUAGCUGAUGAAAUAAGCCGUGUGUUACAAAAUAGUCGGAAUCUCAGCGUUUGACACAGUUGUGAUAAUAAAAAGCAACAGAUUUCACUAUGUAACUGGUUA